AGGGCACCACCAGGAGUGGAGCCUGCGGCUUAAUUUGACUCAACACGGGGAAACUCACCCGGCCCGGACACUGGAAGGAUUGACAGAUUGAGAGCUCUUUCUUGAUUCAGUGGGUGGGGGGGCAUGGCCGUUCUUAGUUGGGGGAGUGAUUUGUCUGGUUAAUUCCGAUAACGAACGAGACUCUAGCCUACUAAAUAGGCCUCGGCAUUCUUUGUACUGUCGAGGCGCUUCUUAGAGGGACAGGCGGCGUUUCAGCCGCAUGAGAAAGAGCAAUAACAGGUCUGUGAUGCCCUUAGAUGUCCGGGGCCGCACUCGCGCUACACUGAAGAGAUCAGCGUGCAUGUACUUCCUACUCCGAAAGGAGCGGGAAACCGAGUGAACCUUUUUCGUGCUUGGGAUUGGGGAUUGUAAUUAUUCUCCAUGAACGAGGAAUUCCCAGUAAGCACAAGUCAUCAGCUUGCGUUGAUUACGUCCCUGCCCUUUGUACACACCGCCCGUCGCUACUACCGAUUGGAUGUU
rnacentral:rRNA from 1 species